rnacentral:rRNA from 1 species
UACGUAGGGGGCUAGCGUUGUCCGGAAUCAUUGGGCGUAAAGCGCGCGUAGGCGGCCAGAUAAGUCCGGUGUGAAAGUCACAGGCUCAACCUGUGAAUGCCGCUGGAAACUGUCUGGCUAGAGUCCGGAAGGGGCGAGUGGAAUUCCUGGUGUAGCGGUGAAAUGCGCAGAUAUCAGGAGGAACACCAAUGGCGAAGGCAGCUCGCUGGAACGGUACCGACGCUGAGGCGCGAAAGCGUGGGGAGCGAACAGG